UACAGAGACUGCAAGCGUUAUUCGGAUUCACUGGGCGUAAAGGGUGCGCAGGCGGCCAAGUGUGUGAGGCGUGAAAGCCUGGGGCUUAACUCCAGAAUUGCACCUCAAACUACAUGGCUAGAGCAUUGGAGAGGGUAGCAGAAUUCACGGUGUAGCAGUGAAAUGCGUAGAGAUCGGGCGGAACACCAGCGGCGAAGGCGGCAUCCUGGCCCUAUCCUGACGCUGAGGCGCGAGAGCGUGGGGAGCAAACCGG
rnacentral:rRNA from 1 species